UCCUGGCUCAGGAUGAACGCUAGCGACAGGCUUAACACAUGCAAGUCGAGGGGCAGCAUAGAAGUAGCAAUACUUUGGUGGCGACCGACGCACGGGUGAGUAACGCGUAUGCAACCUACCUAUCAGAGGGGAAUAACCCGGCGAAAGUCGGACUAAUACCGCAUAAAACAGGGGCACCGCAUGGUGAUAUUUGUUAAAGAAAUUCGCUGAUAGAUGGGCAUGCGUUCCAUUAGGUAGUUGGUGAGGUAACGGCUCACCAAGCCGACGAUGGAUAGGGGAACUGAGAGGUUGGUCCCCCACACUGGUACUGAGACACGGACCAGACUCCUACGGGAGGCAGCAGUGAGGAAUAUUGGUCAAUGGGCGGGAGCCUGAACCAGCCAAGUCGCCGUGAAGGAAGAAGGAUCUAUGGUUCGUAAACUUCUUUUGCAGGGGAAUAAAGUGCAGGACGUGUCCUGUUUUGUAUGUACCCUGAGAAUAAGGAUCGGCUAACUCCGUGCCAGCAGCCGC
rnacentral:rRNA from 1 species